AUACGGAGGGAGCGAGCGUUAAUCGGAAUUACUGGGCGCAAAGCGCGCGUAGGCGGCUUUGUCAGUCGGAUGUGAAAGCCCUGGGCUCAACCUGGGAAUGGCAUUCGAUACUGCAGAGCUAGAGUAUGGUAGAGGGAAGUGGAAUUUCCGGUGUAGCGGUGAAAUGCGUAGAUAUCGGAAGGAACACCAGUGGCGAAGGCGACUUCCUGGGCCAAUACUGACGCUGAGGUGCGAAAGCGUGGGGAGCAAACAGGAUUAGAAACCCCGGUAGUCC
rnacentral:rRNA from 1 species